UGGAAAGGCUGCAUCGGUCUUUCACUCUGCACAAUAAAGGACAUUAACAUGCGCCUGCAUGUUAACACAACUUCAGGGUGAAACUUUUCUACGAACGUCCUCCGGACUGCUUGUUGUCCAGAAAAGCUGAAAAGACUCGCGAAGCCCAGCCAGGAGACGCCAAAUUGUCGUGGAAAUUAGUCAACACUCGCAGACUCGUCCUCUGAAGUUCCAAGCGGAUGGAAAGAGGCUGAAGGAAGGAGGCGGAUGGAAGGAAGCUGAUGGACAGAGGCUGAUGGAAGGAGGCUGAAGGAAGGAGGCGGACGGAAGGAGGCUGAAGGAAGGAGGCGGAUGGAAGGAAGCUGAUGGACAGAGGCUGAUGGAAGGAGGCUGAAGGAAGGAGGCGGACGGAAGGAGGCUGAAGGAAGGAGGCUGUAGGAAGGAGGCUGAAGGAAGGAGGCUGAAGGAAGGAGGCUGAGGGAAGGAGGCGGAUGGAAGGAUACUGAAGGAAGGAAUCAUAUGGAAGGAGGCGGACGGAAGGAAUCGUACAGAAGGAGGAGGACGGAAGGAGGCUGAGGAAGGAAGCGGACGGAAGGAGGCUGAUGGAAGGAAGCAGAUUGAAGGAGGCGGACGGAAGGAAUCAUAUGGAAGGAAUCGUACGGAAGGAGGCGGACGGAAAGAGGCUGAGGAAGGAGGCGGACGGAAAGAGGCUGAGGAAGGAGGCGGACGGAAAGAGGCUGACGGAAGGACGCUGAAGGAAGGAAGCAGAUUGAAGGAGGCGGACUAAAGGAGGCUGAGGAAGGAGGCGGACGGAAGGAAUCGUAUGGAAGGAGGCCGAUGGAAGGAGGCGGACAGAAGGAGGCUGAGGAAGGAGGCUAAAGGAAGGAGGCGGAUGGAAGGAGGCUGAAGGAAGGAGGCGGAUGGAAGGAGGCUGAAGGAAGGAGGCGGACGGAAGGAGGCGGACGGAAGGAGGCUGAGGGAAGGAGGCGGACGGAAGGAGGCUGAAGGAAGGAGGCAGACGGAAGGAGGCGGAUGGAAGGAGGCUGAUUCAGUUCAAUUCAAUUUUAUUUGAUAUUAUUUUAUAGUGAUUUUUACAAUAGACACUGUCUCAACGCAGCUUUACAGAAACAUAUAAACACAGUAUACAGAUUUUGAAUUUGCAAAUUUAUCCCAAUUGAGCAAGCCGGUGGCAAGGAAAAACUCCCUAAGAUGUUAAGAGGAACAAACCUUGAGAGGAACCAGACUCAUCUGGGUAACAACAGAUAGUGUGGAAAAGUUAAUUAUGGUUUUAUAUGAAGUCUGUUUGGCCUUAGAAGCAGCCGUAGUUCCUGCAAUGGAAGGAAGCUGAUGGAAGGAAGCAGAUGGAAGGAAGCUGAUGGAACACUGGGACAUUGUAACUGGCCUGUAACAUCAGCAGACCUCAGUCACCUGUGGGGUCAUUUAAAACAGCAAGUGAACCACAAGUGACAGGAUUGCUGCUGUUAUUUAGGUGAGAGGAAGAGUAACCAUGUAUCCCAGAAGAAAUGAAACACGCAACUCAUUUUUGGUCUGGGGAGCUUAUUGUAAAGACACAGUAUUUCUGAUUAUCAACGCAGUACUCCUAGGUGUUGAUUUCCAAAUAGAGUAAAAUAAAUUUGCUCUAAAAUUAUUUAAGGUCUUCUAGUUCAGUUUAUGGAGGGCAUGGUGGCUUAGAUCGUAGUACGUUUGCCUGGCACCUCCGUGGUUGGGGGUUCGAAUCCUGCGUCUGCCCGGUGUGUGCGGAGUUGGCAUUCUCUCGUUGUACUCCGAGGGUUUCCUCCGGUUUCCUCCUCCAGUCCAAAGACAUGUGUUGUAGGCUGAUUGGAAUUUCCAAAUUGUCCGUAGUGUGUGAAUAGGUGUGUGAUUGUGCCCUGUGAUGGGUUGGCACCCCGUCCAGGGUGUCCCCCGCCUCGUGCCCCGAGUUCCCUGGUAUAGUCUCCAGGCUCCCCUGCGACUUUGUGUGGGAUAUGCAGUACAGAAGAUGGAUGGAUAGUCCAGUUUAUAAUCACAUUAAAAACCAAUCCAACUGAGCACAUUAAAUGACUGAUUCAUGACCGCGAGUUUUCCCCCCAUCAUCACAUUAUUUACACAGAAUAUUUAAGUAUAUUGGAUAGAUGUUUUUUGGGACAAUUUUUAUUUCAUGAUUUAUUUUAUUAAAAAGGAGUUUGUUUAGAGAGACACCACAGAGAUUAUAGUUAUUAGCUGUUCAUGACAGACAAGGAUUUUGACGUUUGAGUAAACAAACAGUAAAGUUAAACAUUUUGGUUGUGGACUACACGACUGUAUUGGAAUCACUCACGUAAACAGAAUUGUUGCGUUUCCUCGUUAAUAAGAGUGUGCUGGAUCCACCAUCAUUUCAUUAUCGAGGAAUGUCUUAAUAAUGUUAAGCUCCAUCUGAGUGAUACCCAAGUUUUGGUAAUGUCCUGCAGGCUGGCCAAGGUGUCCAGUGAUGACCUGCGUCAGCUUCGUCCGUCUACGGAUCGGUCUUCAGAUACUUUCAUCAUCACUCAUGUCCCAAAUCUGGAACGCAAAAUAGAAAGAAAAGAAUGUUGAAAUGGUGUAUGUAAAGAAUGAAACAUGACGGGGUGUGCUGUUAUAGGAAAUAAUAACAGCCUGAUGCAUCUUUAAUAAUUAAAGAACAACUUGUCAUACUUUUUAUCCAUUUAUAGUCACAUUUAAAGCUGUGGAAUGUCCACAAAACAAGUUAGCUAGUGGUAUCAAUUGUG
ensembl:lncRNA